UACGUAGGGCGCAAGCGUUGUCCGGAUUUAUUGGGCGUAAAGAGCUCGUAGGCGGUCUGUCGCGUCGGAUGUGAAAACCCGGAACUCAACUCCGGGCCUGCAUUCGAUACGGGCGGGCUAGAGUUCGGUAGGGGAGACUGGAAUUCCUGGUGUAGCGGUGAAAUGACGCAGAUAUCAGGAGGAACACCGGUGGCGAAGGCGGGUCUCUGGGCCAAUACUGACGCUGAGGUGCGAAAGCGUGGGGAGCAAACAGG
rnacentral:rRNA from 1 species